rnacentral:rRNA from 1 species
CUCAAGCGGCGGUACCACGCACCUUGGAGAGUUAGGAACCGGUAAGCAAGUUCCUAGUUGGUAAAAUCGCAUACCUCGUUACUUAGUUCAGUAGAAUUUGGAUAUAGCAAUUUUUCGAUUCUGCAAGUCACGUCCAAGCCGGUGCCGGGUAACCGGUGAGAUAAGGUUUAUUCACUCUUAAUAGGUAAGGUACCUAGAACGGUAUUAGCAUAUAAGUUUACUAUUAUUACUAGAGGUUUAGUAAGAAAGUUGAGUACGGUGAGUGUUAGGGAUAAAAUCCUGUUAUACCACUAGGAACUGGUAAAGCGAAGGCAACUUUUAUGUAAAACUGACGUUAAGGGACGAAGGCUUAUGUUAAAUAACAGGAUUAGAGACCCUGGUAUUGUGAGCAGACAAUGAUGAGUGUCAUAUGCAAGAAAAAUGAAAAAUAAAAAUUAUAAUUGUGUAUAAAUGAAAGUGUAAGCACUCCACCUCAAGAGUAACGUGGCAACAUGGGAACUGAAAUCAUUAGACCGUUUCUGAAACUCGUAGUGAAGUAUGUUGUUUAAUUUGAUAACCCUCAAAUAACCUUACCACAAUUUGUAUUACUAAUUUUUUAGUAACAAGCGUUGCACGGCUGUCUUCAGUUAAUGUUGUGAAACUUUGGUUAGAUCCAUUUAAUUGACGUAAACCCUCGCUUUAUUUGUUUUAAAGCAGUUCGCCGCUAUAUUGGUAGUGAUAUAAGGGACUAAGACAAGUCAUCAUGACCUGAACAUUGUGGGCUAUAGACGUGCCACA